CUACCUGUUCCGAUUUUCAAUUUUUUUACAUAUUUUGAAUCGUCUUUCUCUUUUGAUCAUGAUUCUAUGGCUUGAUUUUGCAGGAAACGUCCGGUCGCACGUUGAUCUAAAAAGGGGAAAUGAAACCCUAACAAAGAUUAUGACAAAAAUUGAAUGAAACGAUAAAGAGAAAGAGAGAAUAGGCGCUAUGUGUACGCGGGUAACGACCUUUUUGAAGGGUGAUUGAGGGUUGACAGAGGAGGACGGAUAUGCUAAUGAUGAGAGAAAGAUGAUUGGCCCUUGACAGGAAGAAGAAGAAUUUGUGGCCUGAAUUGGAAAAUUGGAGGGAGAUUCAAAAGAAAGGAAAUGUAAAGUCUCUUUAGAAAUCAU